rnacentral:lncRNA from 1 species
CUUGCACUUCGGAAAGAAGGAGCUCUCCUUAGGCUGGGAGGGGCCAAGCCGCUGGCCCGUGAGCCUGGGGCAGCUCUGGACUGUGCUUGCUGUCCUUGAGGAGAAUGCAGCCAGCCCAGGGCAAAUCAGAGCCAGGCAGGAAGUGUUCCCUGUGAACCCAUGAGACUUCAUCCCUGCGUUGGUCUGGCUGGCUUUCCCUGUGAGAUACAGGUUCCUCCUGAAGAGCUGAAGCUCCAUUCCAGCUCUAGACUUCUCCUUGCUUUCAGACUUCAAGAUGAGAAGCAUUUUUCCAGUCCACAAGUGUUAGAGGACACUGCCGAUGAUGUGUGUUUUGCCCAGGCUGGACUCAGCUUCUUUGUCUCGCCUGGCGAAGAGGCAGUGCUGUGCCAGGAAAUAGCACCCAGGCAGGACUCCAGGGUGGGGACCGCUAAUCUGGCUUUGCCACAAAAUGUACACUUGAUAAGAGUAGGGGUCUUGCCUGCCUUAUCCACUGCAUAGCUCCAGUCAAGAGAAGUCAUUGCCACGGAAAAGGCACCCAACAAACAUGCCUUUAACUUGUUGAAUGAACCCAUCAAAUUCCUGAUAGUGGAAGUUUGGACACUGGAGUCGCAGGUGGGGAAAGAAACCAUGAUGCAAUAGGACCCCAAUUACACGUGGGUUCUGCUUAUGUUAGAAAAGCUUCCUGACUUUGUGUGCAGUCAAGUCCUGUGGCUUGUGGCCAAGGGAGGAUCUUUUCUUUUUUACCCAUGGAAGAUGACAUUGGUAUGUUGGAGUAAUGAUCCAGAAGAUAAACAUGAAUACAGACAAAUUCUGAAUUUGGAUUCAAAUAACAAGUUGCACAAAAACAAGGUACUCAGUUAUUUCUGAGUAUUGCUCUGUGCGUGGCACUGUGCUGUACAUUGAGGAUAUGAAGAUGAGUAAGUCUCAGUCUAUAUCUUUAGAGACCUCACAGCCUGGAAAGAGAGUUAAAAAAUAAUUACUAUUCAACAUGGCAAUGGUUAUAAAGGAGCAGAUUUUCCAAACUGGUGUUUCAAGGAACAUUCUUUGGCAGGAUGUUAAAAACAGGAAACAGCAAGCCUGAAAAAGGAAAUUGACGAAGAAACAAUUUGGUUAUUCUUGACUCAGUGGCCAAGGAGGGAACACAGAUGCAAGGAAGACUGGGAAAUGCAGUAUACAGCUGGAGACAUCAUUGCCCUAAAUAAAAAUAGGACUCUUACCAAGAAGGGAGAGGAGAAUGGAUAUUGGGUGGCAUCACAGUCUCUCACACCUGAGCAUCUGAUUCUGUCAGAAGUUAAAUGAUGACCUCUCCUGUGGAUCCCUGGGUUCUUAUGAAGCAUGAGUAUAAUACAAGAUGUCAACAGGUAUUGCAAAGAUACUUAUGGAGCACCCCCAUGUUUGAGGAGCUGUGCGAGGCCUUGGAGUUGAAGCCGUGAGUAGAAAGACAAAGGCUCGGGCUCAGGAGCUUAUAUUCUAGUGAGAAGAGUGACAAUGAAGAUGCAGCUGCCAGGAUCUACCACAACCUGUACAGGAUGUUUUGGGACAGCGACUUGGAGCAGCAUUUGGUGGGAGAGGACGGAAGCUGUGAGACGUCAGCUCUGAGCCCUGAGUCCAGGGCUGGUCCUGUGGAGACAGGGGUUGCUAUGUCAUGAGCAGUGUGUGUGUGAGUAUGAGGUGUGGGAGGAAAGGUAGUAAGAAGCUGAGAAAAUGCCUCAAGCUGACCUCUCCCAAGGGAGUUGGAGCCAUGAGUACCUGGGCACCCUGAGGUGAACACUCCUUGCUCUGUGGGUCUCUAGUAUCUAACAAUAAGACCCCACCUGCACCUAUUGAUACACCUCAGGGUGAGAGGCAAAGAAACAUCACUGGGAAACUACAGACACGCAAUCAGGACUUUUCUCUAAUGUAAAGAGAACUUAGGGUCAGGAUUCAGGGAUCAAAUCUAGCUUCCUUGUUUGGCCUCUCUGAGUCUUUGUCCCUUUGCCUCUAAAACUGAGUAUUUCCUUGCCUUAUCUGAGCUUAUGUAAGGGCUAAAUGGGACAUGCUAUACCAAAAACAAUUUAUGGAGACCCAGUUCACUAUAAGAGUACAAUGCAUUCAUCUUCUUCAUCUUUGUAACUUUCGCUACUCCUUUCUGUUUAAAUUGAAACAGAUCUGGAGGCUUGUUUUCUAGAGGAACAACAAUGAAAAAAACAAGCAACAGGGAAAGUAGUCUUUGGUUAGUGAGUAUUCAGGAAAUUUCGGGGCAAAACAAGGAAGGUGAUUGGAACCCUAAUAAGAUCGCUUCCAGCAUAAGGAUGACAGUGAUGGCAGAGAGGAGACUUCAUACUUGGACAUAGCUUUGUGAGCUCCUAAAGAAGCCCAGCUCAUAGUCUGCCCUUCCAGAUAGCCUGCUGAAGGAACAGUGAAGUUUGGAGCUGAAACAGCUUCCUGAGCAGAAAUCUAGUUCAUUUCCCCAUGCUCAGGAGAGUGGCUUAGAAGCCACCAUCUCUGCCUUUUUUUCCUGUUGCUGUCUGUGGCUGACUGUGGCAGGUGGGAAGCUCUGGGAGCUCCAGCUCUGUCCUCUGUCCUUGCAGACACCCAGGGUGGGUGACCACAGCCUAUGAAGUAAGCCAGUCCUUAAUCCAUGGAGCACAUGCCCAGAUACAGGGACAUGGUGCCAUAAUGGACACUCCAAAAUGCCUACUCCCCAUGGUUGGACCAUGUCCAGAUGACGUUUUUUUUUUUUGUUGUUGUUUGUUUGUUUGUUUGUUUUUGAGACAGAGUUUCACUUUUGUCACCCAGGAUGGAGUGCAAUGGCACGAUCUCGGCUCACUGCAACCUCCAUCUCCCGGGUACAAGCGAUUCUCCUGCCUCAGCCUCCCGGGUAGCUGGGAUUACAGGCACGUGCCACCACGCUGGCUAAUUUUUG